UACGGAGGGGGCUAGCGUUGUUCGGAAUUACUGGGCGUAAAGCGCACGUAGGCGGCUUUGCAAGUUAGAGGUGAAAGCCCGGGGCUCAACUCCGGAAUUGCCUUUAAAACUGCAUCGCUAGAGUUGUGGAGAGGUAAGUGGAAUUCCGAGUGUAGAGGUGAAAUUCGUAGAUAUUCGGAAGAACACCAGUGGCGAAGGCGGCUCUCUGGGACGGUACUGACGCUGAGACGCGAAAGCGUGGGGAGCGAACAGG
rnacentral:rRNA from 1 species